rnacentral:misc_RNA from 1 species
GUGACCCAGAAAGAGUAGUGACCCAGAAAGAGUAGUCCCUCCGCGUAAACGAUAUCUUUUAGGUAGCUGGGAUUAAGCCCCUCUCACAGCAAUUCAAUGCAGCCAUUCACAUUUUAUUUUGAUACUUAUAUUUUCACCAAGAUUUGAUUGGUGCAUCAUGCAGAUCAAAAUUAUCUCUCCUUUCAAUAUUAUUUUUUUAGUCAUUAAGAUAAUUCGCACAUAUAAACAAAUUAAAACAUAAAUAUGGGCAUGUUUAUUAUGCAAAUUAUUUGCAAAACAUAUCAAUUAUCAUCUAUUACCGCAACCAAGGCUUCACAAAAUUUGGAGUCUUCGUUCGAAGUUCCUAAAAUUCUUAGAAGCCUAACGCCCUAAUAAAGUUUUAGAGCUUGAAAUGUACAAGUGGAGAUGUGCCAUCAAGACCUUUGGAGAAGUAGAUUCUCAUGUAGUCCUUUACAUCUGUUUCUCUGUAAAUUGGAGGAUUUUCUUCUGACAACAAUUCCUUAAUUGGUCCAUAAAUUUCUGAGCUACUUCCUGUCUGAAUUUGUGGCCUAUAGAAACAUGCCACUGAAAUUCUUGGCCCAACUUUCUUUGCUAGCACUCUGUGAUUAACACUAAUAAACUUGUCAUUGGAGAUGAGCUGCACAAGACAAAGGCAUGACAAAUCUUUAAAAUCAUUUAUCUUUUCCAUUUCUGUCAUCACCCUUAAUGCCAAACAGAAUUUUAUUUACCUGAAGAAGAUCUCCGAUAUUUACUACUAGAGAUCCGUGCAAGGGAGACACAUCCACCCAUUGAUCCUGAUGAAGAACUUGGAGACCUUCUAUUUGGUCUUGCACAAGUAUGGUGAUAAAGUUACCAUCUGUAUGUUGGGUAGUGCCCAUGGUUAACUCUGGCUCAGGACAUGGUGGAUAAUAGUGACCUAAAAAUAAGAGGCCCUUGGCACAACCCAUGUCCUUGAGGUGAUAGGGAUUAAGCCCGAGAGCCUGUGAUAGCAACUGAAAUAGGGUAUUUCCCAAUUUCAUUACUUGGUUUGUGUAUUCAAUCACUAUGUCUCUGCAAUUCCACUUAAUGAUCAAGUACAUAAGCGACAUCAAAUAAACUAUAUAUGGUAGUAAAUUAAAUAUUCACCAUACCUGCACACAUCAGGCAAUUCUUGAGGGCUGGGAGGAUCAGGAGCCAUGAAAGUAACAAAUGAAUCCCUCCAAUUGGUCGCACCUGCUUGAUACAGAUCAAAAUUUGACAUGUAAAGCACCUUUUUUGAGAAAUCGCGUGUAUAGAAUUCUUUCUUAGCUUCAGUGCCUUGCUCGUGAAAUCUCCGGACUCCAUCGAGUGUCUCAUCCAAGAUAUUAUUAGGAACUCCAUGAUUGAUCAGCCGAAAGAAACCCCACUUUUCGCAUGCGUUUCGAACUUUGUCGAUGAUCUUUGCGUCUAAACUUGAAUCUUCAAGGUUACCUUUAAGGUCUAUGACAGGAAUAUCGAGCUGAUCAGAUCUACUUGUUGAGUUGUGAUUGCAGAUAAACUGUUGGCAGUUGAAUAUACGAGGAAUCUUUGUUAACCCAGCAUCUACAAGUCCUUUCACACCGGCUUUUGUAUCAUCAAAGGCUUUUAACUCGCUUUUCCUAUCAUAAUUGGAGUCCAUUUCCAUUUGAUUUUCGCUUGAGUUUGUGACCACCAUUUGAGUGUUAACUGCAUCAACAUUCGCUUAAGAAGAAAUGAGAGAGAAACAUACUUAGCCUUUGUUAGACAAGUGGUUAGCAACCG